AUGAACGCUAGCUACAGGCUUAACACAUGCAAGUCGAGGGGCAUCAGGAAGAAAGCUUGCUUUCUUUGCUGGCGACCGGCGCACGGGUGAGUAACACGUAUCCAACCUGCCCUUUACUCGGGGAUAGCCUUUCGAAAGAAAGAUUAAUACCCGAUAGUAUAAUGAUUCCGCAUGGUUUCAUUAUUAAAGGAUUCCGGUAAAGGAUGGGGAUGCGUUCCAUUAGGUUGUUGGUGAGGUAACGGCCCACCAAGCCUUCGAUGGAUAGGGGUUCUGAGAGGAAGGUCCCCCACAUUGGAACUGAGACACGGUCCAAACUCCUACGGGAGGCAGCAGUGAGGAAUAUUGGUCAAUGGGCGCUAGCCUGAACCAGCCAAGUAGCGUGAAGGAUGAAGGCUCUAUGGGUCGUAAACUUCUUUUAUAUAAGAAUAAAGUGCAGUAUGUAUACUGUUUUGUAUGUAUUAUAUGAAUAAGGAUCGGCUAACUCCGUGCCAGCAGCCGCGGUAAUACGGAGGAUCCGAGCGUUAUCCGGAUUUAUUGGGUUUAAAGGGAGCGUAGGUGGACUGGUAAGUCAGUUGUGAAAGUUUGCGGCUCAACCGUAAAAUUGCAGUUGAUACUGUCAGUCUUGAGUACAGUAGAGGUGGGCGGAAUUCGUGGUGUAGCGGUGAAAUGCUUAGAUAUCACGAAGAACUCCGAUUGCGAAGGCAGCUCACUGGACUGCAACUGACACUGAUGCUCGAAAGUGUGGGUAUCAAACAGGAUUAGAUACCCUGGUAGUCCACACAGUAAACGAUGAAUACUCGCUGUUUGCGAUAUACAGUAAGCGGCCAAGCGAAAGCAUUAAGUAUUCCACCUGGGGAGUACGCCGGCAACGGUGAAACUCAAAGGAAUUGACGGGGGCCCGCACAAGCGGAGGAACAUGUGGUUUAAUUCGAUGAUACGCGAGGAACCUUACCCGGGCUUAAAUUGCAGUGGAAUGAUGUGGAAACAUGUCAGUGAGCAAUCACCGCUGUGAAGGUGCUGCAUGGUUGUCGUCAGCUCGUGCCGUGAGGUGUCGGCUUAAGUGCCAUAACGAGCGCAACCCUUAUCUUUAGUUACUAACAGGUUAUGCUGAGGACUCUAGAGAGACUGCCGUCGUAAGAUGUGAGGAAGGUGGGGAUGACGUCAAAUCAGCACGGCCCUUACGUCCGGGGCUACACACGUGUUACAAUGGGGGGUACAGAAGGCAGCUAGCGGGUGACCGUAUGCUAAUCCCAAAAGCCUCUCUCAGUUCGGAUCGAAGUCUGCAACCCGACUUCGUGAAGCUGGAUUCGCUAGUAAUCGCGCAUCAGCCACGGCGCGGUGAAUACGUUCCCGGGCCUUGUACACACCGCCCGUCAAGCCAUGGGAGCCGGGGGUACCUGAAGUACGUAACCGCAAGGAUCGUCCUAGGGUAAAACUGGA
rnacentral:rRNA from 1 species